GCGACCGUGGUCUAGCGGCAGGAUUUUGGCCUUCCAAGCCAACGACCCGGGUUCAAAUCCCGGCGGUCGCACCA
rnacentral:tRNA from 1 species